rnacentral:rRNA from 1 species
GAUGAACGCUGGCGGCGUGCUUAACACAUGCAAGUCGAACGUGAGAAUAGCAAUAUUUGAAAGUGGCAAACGGGUGAGUAACACGUGGGAACCUGCCUCGAAGUGGGGGAUAACGAUUGGAAACGGUCGCUAAUACCGCACGGUUCUGCUCUGAUGGGAAUGGAGCAGAUAAAGAUUUAUCGCUUUGAGAGGGCCCGCGGCCGAUUAGCUAGUUGGUAAGGUAAAGGCUUACCAAGGCGAUUAUCGGUAGCUGGUCUGAGAGGACGAUCAGCCACACGGGAACUGAGACACGGUCCCGACUCCUACGGGGGGCAGCAGUGAGGAAUAUUGGGCAAUGGGCGAAAGCCUGACCCAGCAACGCCGCGUGGAGGAUGAAGGCUUUAGGGUUGUAAACUCCUUUUGUGGGGGAAAAGAAUGGAUGGUACCCCAAGAAUAAGUCACGGCUAACUACGUG